CAGAUUAUAGCUUAUAUAAAGCUUUUUAGUUACAUUAAUAAGAAAAUUAUUUUAUUUAAUCUGA
rnacentral:tRNA from 1 species